rnacentral:lncRNA from 1 species
UUGGAUGAGAAUCCAGUCGGCACUUUCUACCUGCGCAAGCACUUGCACAUAGCCAAUCUCUCAUCUGGUGUUAAGUUGUAGCUAGCCGGGGGAAGGUAUUGCUUACCACUAGGAAGUUCUUGCGGGUGGAUCUCUGGCCUAAUUUGAAGGUCAACCAGAUCCUUACGUGAUUUUAGUCCGUCCUUUGCCUUGCCUGAUAAGUCCAAGAAUCUAAUGGUGCUAUCGAACAUAUUCUUCUGAAGAUGCAUCCCAUCAAUGGCAUGGCGCACCGACAGCUCUUGCCAGUAUGGCAAAUACUUAAAGAAGAUAGACAUCUUCUUAAAUGGUAUGUCGAUGUUUGUAGUUUCAGCCUACUUCCUUCCCCUUUUCGAAUUAUCAGCACCACCUAAUGACUUCUUACUGAGUUUGAACUGGACCUUCCGCACAUUUCAAAUAUUAUUUUACCCGUAGUCAAUUUACAUUUGGGCCAUCAAAAAAGUCCUUAGUCCUGCGGUAUUUGUGCGUCUUCAAUAAGAAGUGCCUUUGCCACAUGAACACUAUUUUCAUAGAUCCCUUAAGGUACACAUAUGAUGUACCAUCCAAGCAAACUACGCAUGCUGUCUUACCUUUUACCUGACCUGUCAGGAUAAAUAGGGCGGGAUAAUCAUUGAUGGUAACAAAGAUAAUGACCCUUAGUAUGAAGUGCUCCUAUCCGUACUCAUCUCACAUCCAAACCACAUCUUCCCAAAUCUUCUGCAUAUCCUCCAU